UGUCUUUGUUAUUGCCAUUAUACCGUUGUUUGGCUAAAUUCCGCACUACCCGGGUUCCCGAUCCUAACAUACACAUAUUAGAUACGGUUGCAAAAGUGAUUGGCUGACACUUAUAAAACAUAAAUUUUUUCGUGAAUGAAUCGUCAACAAAAAAGAAAACAACCUUGCAUAACAACAGAAACUCAUGAUAAGAAUGCCAAGCGGCGUGAACUGUAUCAUGACAUGGCCACAGUUGAAAAGAACGCACUUUUGCUGCAACGCCGCCUCAAAAAGAGAGAGGCAACAACUAAUCGUCUUCUUGGAAGUAGAAAAUCUAUCAAUCUUGCCGAAUCAAUGUCUGCAAUUCAGGGAAAUGUUAUUGUUGGAGGCUCUUCUUCGAUUUAAAAAAUAUGUUAGAAUAUCAAAUUCAUUAUUCCUUAUUUCCUCACAUGCGUCUUCUGUAUGAGUGUGUGUGCGCAGUGGUUACGCUCCUGCAAUCUCUAUGUUUACUAAUUAUAUUUUACUACAGUUGCAACUGAUUGUGAGGUUUUUACACCACCAAAUGUGCUUGACAAAGGGAAAAAUGUGAUUCAUCCUAUUUCUAUUUUUGAAAAGGGUUCGACAUCAAGUACUUCAGGUAAAUCAAGUGCUCCAACUACUGAAACAGUUCAGGUCGAUGGUCACGUGAAGAAUAAAAGAAAUAUGACUAAUAUUAUCCGAUUAUGCCUUGAUUAUGUGUCGUUAAAAAAAGUUCCAAACUGUAAAUUCUGCUUGGCAAAAAAAUUUCAAUACGAAUCACCUGGAUUUUGCUGUGGCCGCGGUUUUAAUUCGCCUUUGACCAUCAAAUAAAAUGUGUGCAAUUACUUGUAUCGCAAAUAUUGUUGGAUUCAAAUGUAGUUGCAUGCGGCUUUUGGGUGCAAAUUCAGCUACUACUGGAUUUGGAAUUGUAUAUGAAGUAUUGAACCCGAACAAAUCUGUACCUAAUCCUAUGUAACUCAGAAUGGUUUCAAUCUCCCCGGCUCUUCUUUUAGAUUCAUCUCUUCAGAAGAGUAAUACCAAGUCUCACCCUGUGGGUUGGUGGUUUGAGAAAGAGGAGGAGCGAGCUGAAAAGCAGCAGUGCGUUGUUGCUGCCUCAAAAAUUCUCCACAACUUCUCUUUUAUGCCAGAUAAUGAAGUCAUCAUGCGCCAGCAUAAACAUUGCUUAGGAACUCUAUUCCAAUGUCAGCCAAAUUAUGUUACAGUUCCAAAUGAAACCUGACCUAUGCAGGGUUCACUUGACUAGAAAGACGACAGGGAUGAAGAUGAUAACAAUGAGAAAGACAAUAAAGAUGACAUGAGGGCCAAACAGAAGGGUACAACUCAUGACUUACUAUCUUUUGGUUGCGAAUGCCAUCUUUUCUUUUGACGGAAUGUAGGUACAUUGACGGGUAAGUCUAUAGAGUUGGCAAAGAUCUUCCAGAAGAGGAGGGUCAAUAUAGCGUGUGUCCAAGAGACAAGGUGGGAAGGGUCGAGGGCGAGGGACGCUGACGGGUAUAAACUUUGGUACUCAGGAGUCCAGAAGGGUAAGAAUGGAGUGGGUAUCUUGGUGGAUAGGGAACUUAGAGAGUUUGUGGUUGAGGUUAGAUGAGUGAAUGAUAGAUUGAUGAUUAUUAAGUUGGUGGUUGGAGAGUGCACUCUAAACGUCGUUAGCACCUAUGCGUCGCAUGCAGGCCUAGAUGAGGAGGUUAAACGGCGUUUCUGGGAGGGGUUAGAUGAGAUUGUGCGCCAGGUUCCGACUGCUGAGAAGCUAUUCAUACGAGGGGAUUUCAAUGGUCAUAUUGGGUCGAUCGCAUGUGGUUAAGGCGAGGUGCAUGGAGGCUUCGGUUUUGGGGAGAGGAACGGAAGAGGUACCUCGUUGUUGGACUUCGCUAAGGCUUUUGGGUUGGUGAUUGCGAACUCUACCUUUCCGAAAGGGAGGAGUAUUUGGUUACUUUUCAAAAUGCGGUGGCGAAGACUCAGAUUGACUCUCUUCUCCUCAGGAGGUGUGACAAAGGGUUGUGCAAGGAUUGCAAGGUGAUUCCAGGUGAUAUACUCGCGACGCAACAUGUACUCUUGGUGAUGGACUUUGGUAUUAUGUUGAAGAGGAGGAAAAGGUCUGCUCGAGGAAGGCCGAGAAUCAGGUGGAGAGCCUUAACUAAGGAUAAAGCCCAAGAGUUGGAGGGGCGGUUGUCGGCUAUGGGAGCUUGGAGGAGCAGUAGUGACGCGAGCACUAUGUGGUCAAUGACAGCAGACUGUGUAAGGGAGGCUGCGAGAGAGGUGUGAGGGGUCUCGACGAGCGUCGCUGGCGGGCACAAAGGAGACUCGUGGUGGAAUGAAGUGGUCCAGGGUAAAGUGGAAGCGAAGAAGGCAACGUACCUGAAGUUAGUGGGGAGCAUAGGUGAGGAGGAGAGGCGUGCGUUCAUGGAGAGGUAUAAGGUAGCUAGGAAGGAAGCUAAGCUGGCGGUCACGGAGGCUAAGACUGCAGCUUAUGGUCGAAUGUACGAGGAACUGGGGGAAAAAGGCGGGGAGAAGAAGCUAUUCCGGCUAGCCAAGUUGAGAGAGAGGAAGGCUCGGGAUUUGGACCAAGUGAGGUGCAUCAAGG